rnacentral:rRNA from 1 species
AGUGAACGCUGGCGGUAGGCCUAACACAUGCAAGUCGAACGGCAGCACAGUAAGAGCUUGCUCUUACGGGUGGCGAGUGGCGGACGGGUGAGGAAUACAUCGGAAUCUACUUUUUCGUGGGGGAUAACGUAGGGAAACUUACGCUAAUACCGCAUACGACCUACGGGUGAAAGGAGGGGAUCUUCUGACCUUGCGCGAUUGAAUGAGCCGAUGUCGGAUUAGCUAGUUGGCGGGGUAAAGGCCCACCAAGGCGACGAUCCGUAGCUGGUCUGAGAGGAUGAUCAGCCACACUGGAACUGAGACACGGUCCAGACUCCUACGGGAGGCACCAGUGGGGAAUAUUGGACAACGGGCGGAAGCCUGAUCCAGCCGUACCGCGUGGGUGAAGAAGGCCUUCGGGUUGUAAAGCCCUUUUGUUGGGAAAGAAAAGCAGCAGGUUAAUACCCCGCUGUUCUGACGGUACCCAAAGAAUAAGCACCGGCUAACUUCGUG